UACGGGGGGGGUAAGCGUUGUUCGGAAUUACUGGGCGUAAAGGGCUCGUAGGUGGCCAACUAAGUCGGACGUGAAAUCCCUCAGCUUAACUGGGGAACUGCGUCCGAUACUGGAUGGCUUGAGUUCGGGAGAGGGAUGCGGAAUUCCAGGUGUAGCGGUGAAAUGCGUAGAUAUCUGGAGGAACACCGGUGGCGAAGGCGGCAUCCUGGACCGAUACUGACGCUGAGGAGCGAAAGCCAGGGGAGCAAACGGG
rnacentral:rRNA from 1 species